rnacentral:misc_RNA from 1 species
UUUACUGUUUCAAUAUGAGCUCGGAAGAAGAUAACUUAAAUUCUUUGCAUAAAGUGUAUACGAAUGAUCCACUCUUAUUCAUGACUUACGUCGGAAAGGAGGUUAAGAUAAUGACGAAAGAUAAAAAUGUUUACUAUGGUAUUGUUUAUACACUUGAUCCGGUAUCAGAAAGAUCUGUAUCAUUGCACCAGAUAGCCGAAGCCCAAGUAUAAGUGAAGCGUGAUUUUUUUCAUCACUAAGAACUAGACAACCCUUGCUGACUAAAGAGG